UACGUAGGGUGCAAGCGUUAUCCGGAAUUAUUGGGCGUAAAGAGCGUGUAGGCGGCUGGGUAGGUCCGUUGUGAAAACUCGAGGCUCAACCUCGAGACGCCGAUGGAAACCCCCCAGCUAGAGUCCGGAAGAGGAGAGUGGAAUUCCUGGUGUAGCGGUGAAAUGCGCAGAUAUCAGGAAGAACACCCGUGGCUAAGGCGGCUCUCUAGUACGGUACUGACGCUGAGACGCGAAAGCGUGGGGAGCGAACAGG
rnacentral:rRNA from 1 species